AUUCAGUUAAAAGUGAUCAUUUAGCAAUGAAUUUCUUCAAGAUCCUCACUCUGGCUAUCUUCCUAAUCGCCAUGGCAGGCGUUGGAGUUCAAGGCUGUGGAUCAAAUGAUCCGGGCUACAAACCGAGAUUCAAUCACGGAUUGUCAGAUUAUCCAAAUCUGUUAUCAUCUCUCUUCAACAUAUUCCAAGGACAACCUAAUAAAACGGAAGAAAAAAUGGGAUAAAAUGAAUGCAUUUCACGCCUUUCAGUCUUGAAUGAACACUUAACCGAGAAGUUAUAUAGAAAAA